GACAGAGGGGGCAAGCGUUGCUCGGAAUCACUGGGCGUAAAGGGCGCGUAGGCGGGAUGGCAAGUCAGUCGUGAAAUCUCUCGGCUCAACCGAGAAACGUCGGCUGAUACUGCCGUUCUUGAGGGAUGCAGAGGAGACUGGAAUUCCCGGUGUAGCGGUGAAAUGUGUAGAGAUCGGGAGGAACACCGGUGGCGAAGGCGGGUCUCUGGGCAUUUCCUGACGCUGAGGCGCGGAAGCGUGGGGAGCAAACGGG
rnacentral:rRNA from 1 species